GAGUGGCGAACUGGUGAGUAACACGUGGGAAACCUGCCCAGAAGCGGGGGAUAACACCUGGAAACAGAUGCUAAUACCGCAUAACAACUUGGACCGCAUGGUCCGAGUUUGAAAGAUGGCUUCGGCUAUCACUUUUGGAUGGUCCCGCGGCGUAUUAGCUAGAUGGUGGGGUAACGGCUCACCAUGGCAAUGAUACGUAGCCGACCUGAGAGGGUAAUCGGCCACAUUGGGACUGAGACACGGCCCAAACUCCUACGGGAGGCAGCAGUAGGGAAUCUUCCACAAUGGACGAAAGUCUGAUGGAGCAACGCCGCGUGAGUGAAGAAGGGUUUCGGCUCGUAAAACUCUGUUGUUAAAGAAGAACAUAUCUGAGAGUAACUGUUCAGGUAUUGACGGUAUUUAACCAGAAAGCCACGGCUAACUACGUGCCAGCAGCCGCGGUAAUACGUAGGUGGCAAGCGUUGUCCGGAUUUAUUGGGCGUAAAGCGAGCGCAGGCGGUUUUUUAAGUCUGAUGUGAAAGCCUUCGGCUCAACCGAAGAAGUGCAUCGGAAACUGGGAAACUUGAGUGCAGAAGAGGACAGUGGAACUCCAUGUGUAGCGGUGAAAUGCGUAGAUAUAUGGAAGAACACCAGUGGCGAAGGCGGCUGUCUGGUCUGUAACUGACGCUGAGGCUCGAAAGUAUGGGUAGCAAACAGGAUUAGAUACCCUGGUAGUCCAUACCGUAAACGAUGAAUGCUAAGUGUUGGAGGGUUUCCGCCCUUCAGUGCUGCAGCUAACGCAUUAAGCAUUCCGCCUGGGGAGUACGGCCGCAAGGCUGAAACUCAAAGGAAUUGACGGGGGCCCGCACAAGCGGUGGAGCAUGUGGUUUAAUUCGAAGCUACGCGAAGAACCUUACCAGGUCUUGACAUACUAUGCAAAUCUAAGAGAUUAGACGUUCCCUUCGGGGACAUGGAUACAGGUGGUGCAUGGUUGUCGUCAGCUCGUGUCGUGAGAUGUUGGGUUAAGUCCCGCAACGAGCGCAACCCUUAUUAUCAGUUGCCAGCAUUAAGUUGGGCACUCUGGUGAGACUGCCGGUGACAAACCGGAGGAAGGUGGGGAUGACGUCAAAUCAUCAUGCCCCUUAUGACCUGGGCUACACACGUGCUACAAUGGAUGGUACAACGAGUUGCGAACUCGCGAGAGUAAGCUAAUCUCUUAAAGCCAUUCUCAGUUCGGAUUGUAGGCUGCAACUCGCCUACAUGAAGUCGGAAUCGCUAGUAAUCGCGGAUCAGCAUGCCGCGGUGAAUACGUUCCCGGGCCUUGUACACACCGCCCGUCACACCAUGAGAGUUUGUAACACCCAAAGUCGGUGGGGUAACCUUUUAGGAACCAGCCGCCUAAGGUGGGAC
rnacentral:rRNA from 2 species